AAAAAAGCAAACCCUGGGUUUCCGUGCUAAAGUUUGACUGUCCGUUUUAUAUGAAUUUUUUUUAUAAUUAGUAUUUUCAUUGUUGUUAGAUGAUAAAACAUGAUUAAUACUUUAUGCGUAACUUAUCUUUCUAAUUUUUUUCAUAAUUUUUUCAAACAAGACGGACGGUCAAACGUUGGACACGGAAACCAGAGUUUGUCUUUUUC
rfam:Oryza rufipogon genomic scaffold, chr02